UACGGGGGGGGCAAGCGUUGUUCGGAAUUACUGGGCGUAAAGGGCUCGUAGGCGGCCAACUAAGUCAGACGUGAAAUCCCUCGGCUUAACCUGGGAACUGCAUCCGAGACUGCAUUGCUAGAGUAUGGGAGAGGGAAGCGGAAUUUCUGGUGUAGCAGUGAAAUGCGUAGAUAUCAGGAGGAACACCGGUGGCGAAGGCGGGUCUCUGGGCCGUAACUGACGCUGAGACGCGAAAGCGUGGGGAGCGAACAGG
rnacentral:rRNA from 1 species